rnacentral:rRNA from 1 species
AUUGAACGCUGGCGGCACGCCUAACACAUGCAAGUCGAGCGGUAGCAUGUUUAGUAGCAAUACUAGAUGAUGACGAGCGGCGGACGGGUGAGGAACACGUAGGAACCUGCCCUUGAGCGGGGGACAACCAAGGGAAACUUUGGCUAAUACCGCAUAAACUCGAGAGAGAAAAGCUGCCCGCAAGGGUGGCGCUUGAGGAGGGGCCUGCGUCCGAUUAGCUAGUUGGAGAGGUAAAAGCUCACCAAGGCGAUGAUCGGUAACUGGUCUGAGAGGACGACCAGUCACACUGGGACUGAGACACGGCCCAGACUCCUACGGGAGGCAG